GUGGGAACCCUCUUCCCGGGGCGGGGGGUCUUCAGGGCAGCCCCCAGACAGACCGCCGCGCGCCCGGGACAGCAUGCGCACCGCGAGAAACCGGAGGCGCGCGCCGCUCCGGCUGCCCCAGCUCCUCCCUGCAGCUCCGCGCUCUGGACCCGUGUCCGAGUUUGCGUCCCCGGACCUUUAAGGCCGGUGCCUGGGCUGCGCCCCGCACCCUCCGCUGAGCCCCGCCCCGCCCCGCUCAGGGUCCCCCGCCCUGAGCGCCCGGCUCCGGAGCGCUGUGCGCCGGCCCUGUCCGCAGCUGAGCUCCGUGUUCCAGGACGCGCGGAGGGCCGGGUCACCCCAGCUUCGCCAGGACUUGGGGGCGCGGUGAGUGGGGGCGGGGCGCAGGGGCGGAGGGCGGUGGCCGCGGCGGGGUGCCGGUUCCUGGCACUGGAAGUCCUUCCCGUUCCCCUGAAUCCGGGGCUGUGCGCGGGACCUCUGAGCUCUCACUGCGCCCGGGACGUGGGCCGCUUCUCCCCGGGUCCUGGGAGAGGUCCGUGGGCCGGGCGACGCGGGGAGCGUCCCCCGAGGACCUGCCUGCUCUUGGGCAGCUCCUUUUCGGGGUGGGAGGGGCGCGAGGCUGGGGAGCCCAGGACGUCGGCCCCGGAGGUGAACUUGGCCCUCUGGCCUUGGGAGCAACGACCCCGCGGGCAGCGGCGGGGGACCCAGGGCCCGGCGGGACGGAACCGCCUGUCCGCGGCGCGCCAUCUCCCAGCCCGUGCGCCCCGGUUCUGGGCGACUCGCAGGCCCCGCACUUCCACCGACGUGACCCCAGCGCCCGCCGCACAGGGGCGGGAUCCCGCGCGAGCCGGCGCCGCCCCGCCCGCCCCGCCUUCCCCCCACCUGGGCCCUUUGGCUUCCCAGGUGGAGGAGAUGCCGGCGCCCCGUCUGUCUGGGGCGAGCCCAGCUCCGCGGAUCCAGGGCUGGGGAGGCGCGGGUGCCGCCCCAGGGCCGGGCGCUGCUGGCUGGAGGGAGGCCGCGGCCGCGGGCCGUGCCUGGACUUGCCUGGGCUUGUUCCGAGCCGGCUGCUCCCCUCGGUGA
rnacentral:lncRNA from 1 species